rnacentral:rRNA from 1 species
CCUACGGGAGGCAGCAGUGAGGAAUAUUGGUCAAUGGGCGAGAGCCUGAACCAGCCAAGUCGCGUGAGGGAGUACUGCCCUAUGGGUUGUAAGCCUCUUUUGUCGGGGAGCAAAAGCCGGACGUGUCCGGCUGUGAGAGUGCCCGAAGAAAAAGCAUCGGCUAACUCCGUGCCAGCAGCCGCGGUAAUAGGGGGGAUGCGAGGGUUAGCCGUAUUUGUUGGGUUAAAAGGGGGCGCAGGCGGAUUUUUAAGUCAGCGGGAAAAUCGUGGGGCUCAACCCCAUCCAGCCGUUGAAACUGGGGAUCUUGAGUGUGCUAGAGGUAUGCGGAAUGCGUGGUGUAGCGGUGAAAUGCAUAGAUAUCACGCAGAACCCCGAUUGCGAAGGCAGCAUACCGGUGCACAACUGACGCUCAGGCACGAAAGCGUGGGUAUCGAACAGGAUUAGAUACCCCUGUAGUC